AUGUUUUAAUCUGGCCCUUAAUCGUGUUUUUGCUCUCUUUAAUGGCUAUGGUGGUUGGAAAUACCCUGCGUUUAUUUCAUUUAAGCCAUCAGGAAGAAGUAGAAAUUUUAAGUUUGAUCGGUGCAAGCAGGGCUUAUAUUCAAUUUCCUUUACUAGUGACCGGAGCUGUGCAGACUUUGAUAGGCGGCAUUCUGGGAUUGAUUUUUUUAAAGUUGAUGCACCUGAUACUACAAAAAGUGUUUUAUGUGCCUCCGUUCUGGCUAAAAAUCAGUUUUUUCCCCUUGCCUUAUGUAAGUCUUUUCCUGGCCGUGCUGAUUUUGGUGGGGAUAAUUAGUGGGUUCGUGGCUGGACAAAGCCCUGGUACCGGCUAAGAGGAAGCAUCGACAACAUUUGCUGAUCCAUUAUCAAUUACCAUUCUCAACUUUUUGAGUUGAAAAAAAUGUUCAAUAUUUUCACGCGAUUAUAGACCUGACCUGUCAGAGUAUCCAGUUUUCGGGAAACGAUCAACGUUGGCAUAAAUCGCCAAAAAUUGUCUAAAUCAACCUUGUUUUGGUCAUUUGAACAUUAGAAAAUUCGAAUUUGUUUCGGAUUUCGAUAUUCGAAUUUCGGAUUUCUUAACAUUCGGAACUCCGAAAGUUGAGUCAGAUAUUAAAGGAGCAUGAGCUAGCAAGUUUAGUGAGGUGCUCGGUGAGAGCGUGCCUUUUGCAUAAUGGGCCAGCGAGUUAAUCUGCAGUGCGAGGUUAAGCUGUAAAGCGGAGCCGUAGCGAAAGCGAGUCUGAAUAGGGCGAAUUAGUACUGCGGAUUAGACCCGAAGCCGAGUGAUCUAUCCAUGGGCAGGGUGAAGCCCCGGUAACACGGGGUGGAGGCCCGAACCAGUGAAGGUUGAAAACUUCUUGGAUGACCUGUGGAUAGGGGUGAAAGGCCAAUCAAACUCGGUGAUAGCUGGUUCUCCCCGAAAUAUAUUGAGGUAUAGCCUCGGGUGUUUACUUGCGGAGGUAGAGCACUGAAAGGGCUAGGGGCCCCACCAGGUUACCAAACCCUAUCAAACUCCGAAUGCCGUAAGUAUAAGCCCGGGAGUCAGACUAUGGGUGAGAAGGUCCAUGGUCGAGAGGGAAACAGCCCAGACCGUCGGCUAAGGUCCCCAAAUCCAUGCUAAGUGGGAAAGGAGGUGGAACCGCCCAGACAGCCAGGAGGUUGGCUUAGAAGCAGCCAUCCUUUAAAGAAAGCGUAAUAGCUCACUGGUCUAGUGGUUCUGCGCCGAAGAUGUAACGGGGCUAAGCAUGGUACCGAAGCCACGGGUCGAUUCUAAGGAAUCGGCGGUAGGGGAGCGUUCUCCUAAGGGAUGAAGGUAUGCCGUGAGGUAUGCUGGACUAAGGAGAAGUGAUAAUGCUGGCAUGAGUAACGAUAAAACGGGUGAGAAACCCGUUCGCCGUAAACCCAAGGUUUCCUGGGUAAAGCUAAUCUGCCCAGGGUUAGUCGGCCCCUAAGGCGAGGCCGAAAGGCGUAGCUGAUGGGAAACAGGUUAAUAUUCCUGUACCUGCUGGGUAGUCGUUUGAGCGAAGGGGGGACGCAGAAGGGUAGGUCAGCCACCUGUUGGAAUAGGUGGUUCAAGCCUGUAGGCUGGGGACUCAGGCAAAUCCGGGUCCCUGAUAAGGCUGAGAGGUGAUGACGAGUCAAUAAAGACGGAAGUGACUGAGCCCAUGCUGCCGAGAAAAGCCUCUAAGCGAGACUACCUGGUGGACCGUACCGCAAACCGACACAGGUGGGUGGGGUGAGUAACCCAAGGCGCUUGAGAGAACUCUGGCUAAGGAACUCGGCAAAAUGACCCCGUAACUUCGGGAGAAGGGGUGCUCUUGCGGGUGAAGGGAUUUAACUUCUGGAGCCUGGGAGAGCCGCAGAGAAAUGGCGGGGGCGACUGUUUACUAAAAACACAGGUCUCUGCUAAGUCGUAAGACGAAGUAUAGGGACUGACGCCUGCCCGGUGCCGGAAGGUUAAGGGGAUCAGUUAGCCUUCGGGCGAAGCUGUGAACCGAAGCCCCGGUAAACGGCGGCCGUAACUAUAACGGUCCUAAGGUAGCGAAAUUCCUUGUCGGGU
rnacentral:rRNA from 1 species